CCUACGGGAGGCAGCAGUGGGGAAUAUUGCGCAAUGGGCGAAAGCCUGACGCAGCGACGCCGCGUGCGGGAUGAAGGCCUUCGGGUUGUAAACCGCUGUCGGGAGGGACGAAUCAAUGACGGUACCUCCAAAGGAAGCACCGGCUAACUCUGUGCCAGCAGCCGCGGUAAUACAGAGGGUGCAAGCGUUGUCCGGAAUUACUGGGCGUAAAGGGCGCGUAGGCGGUUCGGUAAGUAGGGGGUGAAAUGCUGCGGCUCAACCGCAGCCCUGCCUUCUAAACUGCCAGACUUGAGCGUAACAGAGGCAGGUGGAAUUCCCGGUGUAGCGGCGGAAUGCGUAGAGAUCGGGAAGAACAUCGGUGGCGAAGGCGGCCUGCUGGGUUACUGCUGACGCUGAGGCGCGAUAGCGUGGGGAGCAAACAGGAUUAGAUACCCUGGUAGUCCACGCCGUAAACGAUGGGUACUAGGCGCUGGGGGGAGCGACCCCCGUCGGUGCCGUCGCUAACGCAAUAGUACCCGCCUGGGGAGUACGGCCGCAAGGCNGAACACAANAGAUGACGCGNGAGACGUGCGACGGCGACGACGAGGGAGAGG
rnacentral:rRNA from 1 species